rnacentral:rRNA from 1 species
UACGGAGGGUGCAAGCGUUGUCCGGAUUCAUUGGGUUUAAAGGGUGCGUAGGCGGCCUAGUAAGUCAGCGGUGAAAUACCCACGCUCAACGUGGGAACUGCCGUUGAUACUGCUGGGCUUGAGUUCGUCCGAGGUGGCUGGAACUGUGUGUGAGCGGUGAAAUGCAUAGAUAUCACGCAGAACACCGAUUGCGAAGGCAGGUCACUGGGACGCGACUGACGCUGAGGCACGAAAGUGUGGGGAGCAAACAGG